AGGAAGCUCAAGAAUCCUUUUUCAAUUCAAAGAUUGUAUAUUUAAGAAUGUUCAUGAUUUAUUUGAAUUGGAAUUCAUGUGCAUGUUGUUGUUGGGUUAUGAUCCAUGUCAUAGACUAUUGAUUUCUAGAAUUGAUCUUAGUGUUUGAUUAUUUAUGUGGUAUUCUUGAUAAAUCCUUCAAAUUGCAAGUUGAAUUAAGUAGCCAUGAUAAUUUGAUUUAUUGAUUGUUAUAUAACCAAAGCAUGCUCCCCAUGUGUUUGAUAAAAUGCCUAUGUGAAGAAAAUAGUGCCUUCAAUGCAUGUUAUUAUGAAAUCCCCAUUCAUGUACAAGUUAGUGCAUGUAAAGUGUUUGAUGAAAUGUCUUAGU
rnacentral:lncRNA from 1 species